UCUUAUGCAAGUCUUUUAUAAGGUUUUUCUAUUUCUUUUCCAUAUGGGUGAGUUUAGAGCUGAGGCCCAAUUAUUUCUACUACUCAAAAACUGAGCAGCAAUUUAAUAAACUGAGUGACCCUAAGGUUUGAGAAAUAUGUACAGAGUAAUUGACUUCCCUCUGUUGAAUCUGUAACAAACAAAGUGAAAUGUGUCUGAGAAUACAACUACUAAUGAAAAAUUAUUAGUCUUGGGGAUCAUAAAGAUUUUUUUUUUGGCAUACAUAAAAAAUCGAUCCUAACAGUCCAAAAUCCUCCAGUGCAGAGAGUCAUCUGUUGGCAGUGCAGCAGGCGGUCAUUACACUGACAGAUUCAUAUUUCUUGUUUUCUACAAUCAUCAGUCUGAAGAGAUUCACUUUAAUGAUGUGUGUAGCUAAGAAGCUCAGGGUGGAGGAAACCUCGAUUACACACAGACUCACACAUGUUUUCAGAUGUGAGGCUCAGUAAAAGGAAAGCAGCAGUCUGUGAGCAGCAGCACAGAUUCAAACAUCUUUCAUACAAGACAAAACUCCAACAUCAUCUUUACAGCUGAGAGCAGAACCAGAGCCAGCCUGUGAGCUGUGGAGACGAGCAGGAGGAAACAGGAAGUUGGAUCCAUGCUGACAUCACUGAGCUCGCUGUUUAAACCUGCUGUUUGUUCCUGACAUGCAGUCACAGUCUGAGUUACACCAAUGUUUUCUCUUCAGUUCCAGAACCAAACACUGGAUUGAUUGUAGCUGUUGCUGUUCUUGCUGUUGUUCUUGCUAUUGUAGUUGGGAUUCUUGUCAGGUAUUACUUCAUGAAUUAAAAAGAAUCAAACAAGAAGGAGUCCUCUGAACCCUCAGCCCAGGAACAGAAACUCAAUGCUGAACAAAGUGUGUGAAGUACGGUGUGUGUGUUGCUUAUGUUUGUUUUAUGAGAACCAAAUUAAGUUUUGGAGCACAGCAGCUUGGACAUGUUGGAUUAUUUUUGGUAUUUUCAGCAGUUUAAAAGUUCAGAACAGAUUUUAAUCCUGUGGUUUAGCACAUGGUUAAAUGUCAGGAUGGAGGGAUGUAGUUUCUGCUGCAUUUGUGCAAAAGAAAUAUUUCCUGUUCGGCCACCAAAGCCAUUUUUCUAAUACUUUGAUCAUCAUCACUUCACAUAUAUCUGUAUAAAAAAUAAAAGUAUAAAUGUUUAUCUCAAAGUCCUCAGUACUUGAUAAAAAAUACUUUCAAAUACCGUCUAACACCAUCUUUUCAACACUGGGCAUUUGGGGGGUUUUUUUCUAUUUGAAUGAAAACAGAUGCAGCACAUCAAUGUUUUUCUUUAUCCCACACAUGAACUGUCAUCCUGUCACCUGAAAUAGGUUUAAAAUAUUAAAUUACUGUUGUAUUUAUUCCAUGAGAGGUCUGAGGUUAAAUGUCCUGUGCUUUCCUCUUCUGCAGCAGUUUAAUAGGACGGAGUAGAGAAAUGGCUUUAGACAGUUUUUCAACUCUCAGCAAUGCCACAGUGAUCGUUUGAUAUAUGGACCUGCAGCGGAGUUUAGGCUCAGACACGACUAGUGACGUCAGACUGAACAAUCGGAUAGGACGGAGCAGAGAAAUGGCUCCACCUGCUCUUGGUGCAUUUGCCCACUCUGGAUGGAUUUGUGUUUCCAGCUGGACUCAUAUUUCAGUAAAUAUCUAAAUAACAUUUGAAAGGAAAUUUGUCUGAUAACAGAAGGUUUGUCAAACAACUGUCUCAAGUUAAUUCUUUCCUUUAGAAUGCUCCAAACAAGGGAAAUAAGUUUUCUUUGUUUUCUAACACUAAACAUACAUUAACUUAAUGUAAUUAACUAUAACCCUGAGCUGUUCUGCUGUAAAUAAAUGUGAAUAUUUUGCAGUCUGAAAAGAAAGUGCCUUUUUAAAUACGCUUUUGUGUUUUAUCUUUUUAUUUUUGCUAAAGAAAACUGUCAGGAUACACACACUGCAGAUGAAAUGUUGUUGAUGUUUGAUAAUGAAAAUCAUGUUCAUGCUUUUAAUUAUGUCCUCAUACUUAUAUAAUUAUAAUUAAUAAUUAUAAUUAUUAUAAUUAACAUAAUUAUGUCCAUCAUUUUUCACACAGCUCAAGAUUCUCAGAAUAAAAUAUCAAAAAUUAAA